UGGAUGUGUCUGGCUUUAGAGCGACUGGAAACACCAGGCCUUGAUCAAACUCCUGGAGAAUGGUGAAC
rnacentral:lncRNA from 1 species